GGAUCAUUCCCGGUGUAACCAAGGCCUUGUUUGUGAAGGACACAGAAGAGGAAGCUGUAUAAUUCCACCAAGGGCGCCUCCAUCACCACCAUGGCAGCAGGUGGAGUCCCCCGUGCCCUCGCAGGUGGCAGAGCAGCUGGUCCACGUGUCAGAGACGGUGAUCACAGAGGAGACGUUUGAUGCGGCCGUACAGUUUGGCACAGUGCCGGGUUAACCCGCCCAGUACUGAGCAGGAUGACCUGUUUGCAUGCCCCCUUGGUUGCCCUCAACACCUACUGGGGAAGCAUGGAAGGACAUCUACUCCACCAACAUGUACGGCUUCCACUUUCAGCCUCACAGAUGAGUAAUGAGAUCAUCCGCCUGUGCUUCCAAAGCAUCUCUCUGGACAGGAUCUUUGAGGGCUUUGUGUCAUCCAGCCAGCAGAACCUCAGCGACUGUGUCCAGUGCUGCUUGUCCUGGAAGGACGUUUACCUGCAAGCCUCACAGAUUCACCACCAGAUAAGGAGGUGUUGAACAUCAGGGACUAUGUUGAUGAUUUCUGCUGCAGCCAGUUUCCUGUUAUGCUGUCGGAGACAACAGCUUUCGGACUCAUCACACAACACCUCUCGCCUUCAUGAG
rnacentral:lncRNA from 1 species